ensembl:lncRNA
CACAUGAUGUCGCCAUCAGCCCUUCCUACUUCACAGCUCACCUUCCACCAACUCCGCGCUGACGAUGCGAUUGGUCGAAGCGGCGCGGACGGCGGACGCUCAUUGGCCGCUCUCCCGUCAGUCACAGAGCAAUGCCACUCAGGAUAGAUUAGGCACCAUUUGCCAUAACUAAAUAGUUACAUUGUACAUCAAGUAGGGAGAAUUAUUUUAAUUGGUAGCCCACCGCGCUCGGCGGAGAGUUACACUUCGUCUUCGUUCAAACCGUUUUGAAUGCAACAAAGUGUGACGUUCGAACCUCCCGUCUCAUCAAACAGAUGUGGAUACACUGCUCGGUGCAGCAGAAGGAUGUGGUGUGAAGCGGACAGAUGAGUGGCUCUACAACGCCUGCAGGUAACGUCCAGGUUGCCAAAAAGGUGUCACAGGAUCCCCAGGGAGACAGUCCAGAUAAGGGUGCUGAGCAGUGCUGGUGAGCAUCCCAGCAGUCAGAGGAGAGCAGGCUGACCAAACUCUGUCUGCUGAUGAAGACUACACAAUAUCUCUGAAAGCACAGGAAAAACGAAAUGGACCUUGUGAUAAGAAUUUUUUUGUCAAACUGCUGUUCAUAAGUUCAAGAAAAUAACUUUUAAACUAAGCUGACAUCUGGUUUGGAUAAUGGACCUUUAUCAAAUAAAAAUGCCAAACAUUUUU